rnacentral:misc_RNA from 1 species
GAUGAAGAACGCAGCGAAAUGCGAUAAGUAAUGUGAAUUGCAGAAUUCAGUGAAUCAUCGAAUCUUUGAACGCACAUUGCGCCCCCUGGUAUUCCGGGGGGCAUGCCUGUCCGAGCGUCAUUACUGCCCUCAAGCGCGGCUUGUGUGUUGGGCCCUCGUCCCCCCCGGGGGACGUGCCCGAAAGGCAGUGGCGGCGCCGUGCCCGGACCUCGAGCGUAUGGGGCUUUGUCACCCGCUCUGGAGACCCGGCCGGCGGCCGUCGGACCACCCCAACCUUUUUAACCGGUUGACCUCGGAUCAGGCAGGGAUACCCGCUGAACUUAAGCAUAUCAAAAGCGGAGGA